rnacentral:rRNA from 1 species
UACGAAGGGGGCUAGCGUUGCUCGGAAUCACUGGGCGUAAAGCGCACGUAGGCGGCUUUUUAAGUCAGGGGUGAAUCUGGAGCUCAACUCCAGAACUGCCUUUGAUACUGAGAAGCUUGAGUCCGGGAGAGGUGAGUGGAACUGCGAGUGUAGAGGUGAAAUUCGUAGAUAUUCGCAAGAACACCAGUGGCGAAGGCGGCUCACUGGCCCGGUACUGACGCUGAGGUGCGAAAGCGUGGGGAGCAAACAGG